UACGGAGGGUGCGAGCGUUGUCCGGAAUCACUGGGCGUAAAGAGCUCGUAGGCGGUUUGUCGCGUCGGCUGUGAAAACUCGGGGGCUCAACCCCGAGCCUGCAGUCGAUACGGGCAGACUAGAGUGCUGUAGGGGAGACUGGAAUUCCUGGUGUAGCGGUGAAAUGCGCAGAUAUCAGGAGGAACACCGGUGGCGAAGGCGGGUCUCUGGGCAGUAACUGACGCUGAGGAGCGAAAGCGUGGGGGAGCGAACAGG
rnacentral:rRNA from 1 species